GUCAGGCAUGGUGGCGCAUGCCUGUAAUCCCAGCAGUUUGGGAGGCUGAGGCAGGAAGAUUGUGAGUUCAAAGUCAGCCUCAGGAACUUAGUGAGGCCCUAAAAAACUUAGUGAGACCCUGUCUCUA
rnacentral:sRNA from 1 species